AGUCGAACGCACAGCGAAAGGUGCUUGCACCUUUCAAGUGAGUGGCGAACGGGUGAGUAACACGUGGACAACCUGCCUCAAGGCUGGGGAUAACAUUUGGAAACAGAUGCUAAUACCGAAUAAAACUUAGUGUCGCAUGACACAAAGUUAAAAGGCGCUUCGGCGUCACCUAGAGAUGGAUCCGCGGUGCAUUAGUUAGUUGGUGGGGUAAAGGCCUACCAAGACAAUGAUGCAUAGCCGAGUUGAGAGACUGAUCGGCCACAUUGGGACUGAGACACGGCCCAAACUCCUACGGGAGGCUGCAGUAGGGAAUCUUCCACAAUGGGCGAAAGCCUGAUGGAGCAACGCCGCGUGUGUGAUGAAGGCUUUCGGGUCGUAAAGCACUGUUGUAUGGGAAGAACAGCUAGAAUAGGAAAUGAUUUUAGUUUGACGGUACCAUACCAGAAAGGGACGGCUAAAUACGUGCCAGCAGCCGCGGUAAUACGUAUGUCCCGAGCGUUAUCCGGAUUUAUUGGGCGUAAAGCGAGCGCAGACGGUUUAUUAAGUCUGAUGUGAAAGCCCGGAGCUCAACUCCGGAAUGGCAUUGGAAACUGGUUAACUUGAGUGCAGUAGAGGUAAGUGGAACUCCAUGUGUAGCGGUGGAAUGCGUAGAUAUAUGGAAGAACACCAGUGGCGAAGGCGGCUUACUGGACUGCAACUGACGUUGAGGCUCGAAAGUGUGGGUAGCAAACAGGAUUAGAUACCCUGGUAGUCCACACCGUAAACGAUGAACACUAGGUGUUAGGAGGUUUCCGCCUCUUAGUGCCGAAGCUAACGCAUUAAGUGUUCCGCCUGGGGAGUACGACCGCAAGGUUGAAACUCAAAGGAAUUGACGGGGACCC
rnacentral:rRNA from 1 species